rnacentral:rRNA from 1 species
GGUGAACGCUGGCGGCGUGCCUAAGACAUGCAAGUCGAGCGGGGCAGGUUUAUACCUGUUCAGCGGCGGACGGGUGAGUAACGCGUGGGUGACCUACCCGGAAGAGGCGGACAACCUGGGGAAACCCAGGCUAAUCCGCCAUGUGGUCCUGUCCUGUGGGGCAGGACUAAAGGGUGGAUAGCCCGCUUCCGGAUGGGCCCGCGUCCCAUCAGCUAGUUGGUGGGGUAAAGGCCCACCAAGGCGACGACGGGUAGCCGGUCUGAGAGGAUGGCCGGCCACAGGGGCACUGAGACACGGGCCACACUCCUACGGGAGGCAGCAGUUAGGAAUCGUCCGCAAUGGGCGCAAGCCUGACGGAGCGACGCCGCUUGGAGGAGGAAGCCCUGCGGGGUGUAAACUCCUGAACUGGGGACGAAAGCCCCGUGUAGGGGGAUGACGGUACCCAGGUAAUAGCGCCGGCCAACUCCGUG